rnacentral:rRNA from 1 species
AGUAAGGGAUAUUGCACAAUGGGCGAAAGCCUGAUGCAGCAACGCCGCGUGAGUGAUGAAGGCCUUCGGGUUGUAAAACUCUUUUCUGAGGGAAGAGCAAGGACGGUACCUCAGGAAUAAGUCCCGGCUAACUACGUGCCAGCAGCCGCGGUAAAACGUAGGGGGCGAGCGUUAUCCGGAUUUACUGGGCGUAAAGCGCGCGCAGGCGGUUUGGUAGGUUGGACGUUAAAGCUCUUGGCUUAACUAAGAGAGGUCGUUCAAAACCACCAGACUUGAGGUCGGUAGAGGGGAGUGGAAUUCCCGGUGUAGUGGUGGAAUGCGCAGAUAUCGGGAGGAACACCUGUGGCGAAAGCGGCUCCCUGGACCGCACCUGACGCUCAUGUGCGAAAGCGUGGGGAGCGAACGGGAUUAGAUACCCCGGUAGUCCACGCUGUAAACGAUGGAUGCUAGGUGUGGGUGGUAUUUACCCAUCUGUGCCGAAGCUAACGCGU